GCAUAUCAAUAAGCGGAGGAAAAGAAACCAACCGGGAUUGCCUUAGUAACGGCGAGUGAAGCGGCAAAAGCUCAAAUUUGAAAUCUGGUACCUUCGGUGCCCGAGUUGUAAUUUGGAGAGGGCAACUUUGGGCCCGGCUCUUGUCUAUGUUCCUUGGAACAGGACGUCACAGAGGGUGAGAAUCCCGUGCGAUGAGAUGACCCGGGUCUGUGUAAAGUUCCUUCGACGAGUCGAGUUGUUUGGGAAUGCAGCUCUAAGUGGGUGGUAAAUUCCAUCUAAAGCUAAAUAUUGGCGAGAGACCGAUAGCGAACAAGUACAGUGAUGGAAAGAUGAAAAGAACUUUGAAAAGAGAGUGAAAAAGUACGUGAAAUUGUUGAAAGGGAAGGGCAUUUGAUCAGACAUGGUGUUUUGUGCCCUCUGCUCCUUGUGGGUAGGGGAAUCUCGCAUUUCACUGGGCCAGCAUCAGUUUUGGUGGCAGGAUAAAUCCAUAGGAAUGUAGCUUGCCUCGGUAAGUAUUAUAGCCUGUGGGAAUACUGCCAGCUGGGACUGAGGACUGCGACGUAAGUCAAGGAUGCUGGCAUAAUGGUUAUAU
rnacentral:rRNA from 1 species